rnacentral:tRNA from 1 species
AAAGAAUUAGUUAAAGUUUUAUAAUAUUAAUUUGUCAAAUUAAAGUUGAUUUAUUAUUCUUUG